UCUGCCAUUGUCAGACAGACUGCCUGAAAACUAUCUAAAAGAUUCAUGUCACAGAUUUUCGUCUGGUGCCAAUGAGAUCCAGUAGCCACCUCUGCAAGAGACAGGGAGCUCUGGGGCAGUACCACCAGAGAGCCAGCUGGAGAGAAAACCACAUACAGGAUCCUUUGCAGUCUCCAAACAGGACACUGCAGAGGUGGCCUUCCACCUCCACUCUGCCUACUCUCCCCUGACACUAGGAAGCUCCGACUGAGGAGUGGAUCUUCAAGAAGACCCUUGACAUGUUUGAUCUGCCCAGAACCAUACACGUGGGGUUGGCCAAACAAAACCCCAGGAUCAACAGGCUCCAUUACAGAAUAGGCUCCCUCGUCAUUACCUGCAGAGUGGAGGAGCUGAGUGCAGCAUUGCAGGAAGGACAGCAGGAGAAAAAUGUCACGAUUGCUGGAAGCUGACAAACAUGUGCACAACAUAUCUGGUGGAAGUAGAUUUCUUAAACCCUUGUGCCUCAUCAUUCAUGAAUUUGUUGCUGUAUCUGAUUUUCCUGUAGAGGCUUUGUAGUGCCCUGUAGCAUUACUCAAUUGAUAGCCAGAAUGAUGCACACUGGCUAGGGGUCUGUGAUGGUUACCCCUGAUUCCAUUUCAAUUAUUUGACAAUGUUUGUACACGGCAUCAGCUCACUCCAACACCUCAACUCCCCCCUCAUCAUCAUUACCUACUGUCCAGCUGCAAACACAGGAGUUCCCCAACGGUAAUGGUGAUAGCGAGGUGCAACAGACGUGGUCAAUGCUGCAGAAUGGCUGGAGUGCUCACCCAGCAUGCCUAUGUGGCCAACAUUUCACCUGUUUGAGGACAAUAUGUUCCACUGUGAAAGCCCAGUGGACAUUUGCAGGUGCAGUUCCCUCCCUUACAAGUUUGUAAUCUUAACCCUCCUAUUGCGAGUCACUCCACAGCCAUUCGCUUGAAUGUUGCAUGCUGUCCAUGUGCUUCAUGAUGGGCGGUGACAGCGGGUGGUCUUCUGCGGGUGACUUUAGCCUCAGAAUUAAUGUGCCAUUGCAACGCCCAACGUCACAUUCUCCAUUUUAGGUGCCCGUUCUGUUAAUCUUACAAGGUUCGUACUUCCACAGGUUAGCACCUGUAUGUGCAAAUAGAACUUCAUGCCUGUUCCUCCAUUCUCCCCACUCCACCAUAUUCUCCAGCCCCUUCCUUCUUAGCUUCUGUGAAUAGAGAUGAUAAUGGCCUGUCACUUCAAGCAAUCUGACCUGCAGUGCCAGCUCCCAUCUGCCCAGCUCCCUGCAAGUAGAUAUACAUAUCCCAACUUCAUCCACCCUGCAACACUAGCCCCUAUGGAGACAAAAGGCUGAUGAUGUGCAUCCUACAACACAAUGGUACAGUCUCCCUGUACAAUACAACUGUAUGCCUGACCAAGGCUAAAGCCCAGGACUAGUAUGGUAGACUAUCUUUAAUAAACUGUGCUGGGGCCCCCUCACAGGAAGAUAGGAUAGUAUAGAAGGCAUUUGGUAUGCUUUCCUUUAUUGGUCAGAGUAUUGAGUACAGGAGUUGGGAGGUCAUGUUGCAGCUGUACAGGACAUUGGUAAGGUCAGGUGAACACAUGCUGA